CUAAGUUUGAUGGCGACCGGCGCACGGGUGAGUAACACGUAUCCAACCUGCCGAUGACUCGGGGAUAGCCUUUCGAAAGAAAGAUUAAUACCCGAUGGCAUAGUUCUUCCGCAUGGUGGAACUAUUAAAGAAUUUCGGUCAUCGAUGGGGAUGCGUUCCAUUAGGUUGUUGGCGGGGUAACGGCCCACCAAGCCUUCGAUGGAUAGGGGGUUCUGAGAGGAAGGGUCCCCCCACAUUGGAACUGAGACACGGUCCAAACUCCUACGGGAGGCAGCAUG
rnacentral:rRNA from 1 species